ACAUGUCAUUGUAGCCUUUGGGAGACCCCACCAUAUACUUCUGAGAGAAUGCCUGGGAAAGUACGCUGGGGAGGAGGAGGAGGAAGGGAGCGGCAGCAGUGAAGGAUUUGACCCCCCUGCCACUGAUAGGCAGUUCUCUGGGGCCCGGAAUCAGCUGCGCCGCCCCCAGUAUCGCCCUCAGUACCGGCAGCGGCGGUUCCCGCCUUACCACGUGGGACAGACCUUUGACCGUCGCUCACGGGUCUUACCCCAUCCCAACAGAAUACAGGCUGGUGAGAUUGGAGAGAUGAAGGAUGGAGUCCCGGAGGGAGCACAACUUCAGGGACCGGUUCAUCGAAAUCCAACUUACCGCCCAAGGUACCGUAGCUCAUUAGAUGUAUGUUCUUGGACUGCAUUCCAGCCUGUGCAACAGAGUGAGACCCUGUCUGAAAACAAAGAGAUAUUCUAUAGUUAGGGAUUAAAGCAGGGGACCUCCUCGCCCACGACCUGCCCCAGCAGUUGGAGAGGCUGAAGAUAAAGAAAAUCAGCAAGCCACCAGUGGUCCAAACCAGCAGUCUGUUCGCCGUGGAUACCGGCGUCCCUACAAUUACCGGCGUCGCCCGCGUCCUCCUAACGCUCCUUCACAAGAUGGCAAAGAGGCCAAGGCAGGUGAAGCACCAACUGAGAACCCUGCUCCACCCACCCAGCAGAGCAGUGCUGAGUAACACCAGGCUCCCC
rnacentral:sRNA from 1 species